rnacentral:rRNA from 1 species
AGAGUUUGAUCAUGGCUCAGAUUGAACGCUGGCGGCAGGCCUAACACAUGCAAGUCGAGCGGUAGCACAGAGAGCUUGCUCUCGGGUGACGAGCGGCGGACGGGUGAGUAAUGUCUGGGAAACUGCCUGAUGGAGGGGGAUAACUACUGGAAACGGUAGCUAAUACCGCAUAAUGUCGCAAGACCAAAGUGGGGGACCUUCGGGCCUCAUGCCAUCAGAUGUGCCCAGAUGGGAUUAGCUAGUAGGUGGGGUAACGGCUCACCUAGGCGACGAUCCCUAGCUGGUCUGAGAGGAUGACCAGCCACACUGGAACUGAGACACGGUCCAGACUCCUACGGGAGGCAGCAGUGGGGAAUAUUGCACAAUGGGCGCAAGCCUGAUGCAGCCAUGCCGCGUGUGUGAAGAAGGCCUUCGGGUUGUAAAGCACUUUCAGCGGGGAGGAAGGCGGUGAGGUUAAUAACCUCAUCGAUUGACGUUACCCGCAGAAGAAGCACCGGCUAACUCCGUGCCAGCAGCCGCGGUAAUACGGAGGGUGCAAGCGUUAAUCGGAAUUACUGGGCGUAAAGCGCACGCAGGCGGUCUGUCAAGUCGGAUGUGAAAUCCCCGGGCUCAACCUGGGAACUGCAUUCGAAACUGGCAGGCUAGAGUCUUGUAGAGGGGGGUAGAAUUCCAGGUGUAGCGGUGAAAUGCGUAGAGAUCUGGAGGAAUACCGGUGGCGAAGGCGGCCCCCUGGACAAAGACUGACGCUCAGGUGCGAAAGCGUGGGGAGCAAACAGGAUUAGAUACCCUGGUAGUCCACGCCGUAAACGAUGUCGAUUUGGAGGUUGUGCCCUUGAGGCGUGGCUUCCGGAGCUAACGCGUUAAAUCGACCGCCUGGGGAGUACGGCCGCAAGGUUAAAACUCAAAUGAAUUGACGGGGGCCCGCACAAGCGGUGGAGCAUGUGGUUUAAUUCGAUGCAACGCGAAGAACCUUACCUGGUCUUGACAUCCACAGAACUUUCCAGAGAUGGAUUGGUGCCUUCGGGAACUGUGAGACAGGUGCUGCAUGGCUGUCGUCAGCUCGUGUUGUGAAAUGUUGGGUUAAGUCCCGCAACGAGCGCAACCCUUAUCCUUUGUUGCCAGCGGUCCGGCCGGGAACUCAAAGGAGACUGCCAGUGAUAAACUGGAGGAAGGUGGGGAUGACGUCAAGUCAUCAUGGCCCUUACGACCAGGGCUACACACGUGCUACAAUGGCAUAUACAAAGAGAAGCGACCUCGCGAGAGCAAGCGGACCUCAUAAAGUAUGUCGUAGUCCGGAUUGGAGUCUGCAACUCGACUCCAUGAAGUCGGAAUCGCUAGUAAUCGUAGAUCAGAAUGCUACGGUGAAUACGUUCCCGGGCCUUGUACACACCGCCCGUCACACCAUGGGAGUGGGUUGCAAAAGAAGUAGGUAGCUUAACCUUCGGGAGGGCGCUUACCACUUUGUGAUUCAUGACUGGGGUGAAGUCGUAACAAGGUAACCGUAGGGGAACCUGCGGUUGGAUCACCUCCUU